rnacentral:rRNA from 1 species
UACGUAGGGGGCGAGCGUUGUCCGGAUUUAUUGGGCGUAAAGAGCUCGUAGGCGGUUCGGUAAGUCGGGUGUGAAAUCUCGGGGCUUAACUCCGAAACUGCAUUCGAUACUGCCGUGCUUGAGGACUGGAGAGGAGACUGGAAUUUACGGUGUAGCGGUGAAAUGCGUAGAUAUCGUAAGGAAGACCAGUGGCGAAGGCGGGUCUCUGGACAGUUCCUGACGCUGAGGUGCGAAAGCGUGGGGAGCAAACAGG